rnacentral:rRNA from 1 species
ACGGGAGGCAGCAGUGGGGAAUAUUGGACAAUGGGCGAAAGCCUGAUCCAGCCAUGCCGCGUGUGUGAAGAAGGCCUUUUGGUUGUAAAGCACUUUAAGCAGUGAAGAAGACUCCAUGGUUAAUACCCAUGGACGAUGACAUUAGCUGCAGAAUAAGCACCGGCUAACUCUGUGCCAGCAGCCGCGGUAAUACAGAGGGUGCAAGCGUUAAUCGGAAUUACUGGGCGUAAAGCGAGCGUAGGUGGCUUGAUAAGUCAGAUGUGAAAUCCCCGGGCUUAACCUGGGAACUGCAUCUGAAACUGUUAGGCUAGAGUAGGUGAGAGGAAGGUAGAAUUCCAGGUGUAGCGGUGAAAUGCGUAGAGAUCUGGAGGAAUACCGAUGGCGAAGGCAGCCUUCUGGCAUCAUACUGACACUGAGGCUCGAAAGCGUGGGUAGCAAACAGGAUUAGAUACCCUGGUAGUCCACGCCGUAAACGAUGUCUACUAGUCGUUGGGUCCCUUGAGGACUUAGUGACGCAGCUAACGCAAUAAGUAGACCGCCUGGGGAGUACGGCCGCAAGGCUAAAACUCAAAUGAAUUGACGGGGGCCCGCACAAGCGGUGGAGCAUGUGGUUUAAUUCGAUGCAACGCGAAGAACCUUACCUGGUCUUGACAUAUCUAGAAUCCUGCAGAGAUGCGGGAGUGCCUUCGGGAAUUAGAAUACAGGUGCUGCAUGGCUGUCGUCAGCUCGUGUCGUGAGAUGUUGGGUUAAGUCCCGCAACGAGCGCAACCCUUGUCCUUAGUUACCAGCGGGUUAAGCCGGGAACUCUAAGGAUACUGCCAGUGACAAACUGGAGGAAGGCGGGGACGACGUCAAGUCAUCAUGGCCCUUACGACCAGGGCUACACACGUGCUACAAUGGUAGGUACAGAGGGCAGCUACACAGCGAUGUGAUGCGAAUCUCAAAAAGCCUAUCGUAGUCCAGAUUGGAGUCUGCAACUCGACUCCAUGAAGUAGGAAUCGCUAGUAAUCGCGGAUCAGAAUGCCGCGGUGAAUACGUUCCCGGGCCUGCACACACCGCCCAA